GGGCCGGCUGGAAAAGUUUGAAAGUUGGAACCGGCCUGGGCCUAAAAAUGGGAAAUUUUUCCUGCAUUUCUCACGUUCAGCCUACUUAUUUUGCUCCGUUCCCUCCUGUUGCCAAGUCUCCUUUGGUCUUCUUUGUCUUGCUCAAGAGCCUUGUACUGAGGUGGAACUUUGCAAGUGUCUUAACAAGAUCUAAUAAGCUUGGAAACUGAAAGGGGAAAUGAGGAUAUUCCCUUCUGGCUGUAAUCAUGGUGUGAGGGAGGUGGAGACUCUACAAAGGAAGGCUCCUCAGCCUGGAGGUUUGCAGGUUUCUCCCUCAAAAGAUCCUGCUCCAUAGUACUGAGAAAACACAGUGGCCGUUGUGUGGGAGACCACCACAGCUGCCUCAAGGGAAGCCAACACAGUCAUGGUUCCUGAGCUCAUUGGGAUCGGAUGUUUACAGAAGUCUCCCACAGAAGAUGAACUUACCACCGACUUGUUUAUUUUGUAACUGGAAGCCUGUACCUCUUGACUCCCUUCACCCAUUUCAACCACCCCUUGCUGGAAGAGAUUCCUUUUGAAAGCCCACAAAAGUGCUGGAGGGCCCCAAGUUUCCAUAAAGCCAUGGUUCCAGGCAGAAAGUGGCAGCAUCUGUGUUCAGCAUCUUUUCAAGAACAGAAGACCUUGACCUAAUCUCUGGGCUCUCCAUUCACAUGGCUUCAGGGCCAUCCAGGGAGAAGCAGAGUUCAUGCUUCUCAUUCUAUAGUGGUGGCUGCUCGGGUGUUACUUCUGGCUUCCUGACCUAGAUCCUAACUAGGUUGGGGUUUCUGUCUCUCCCUGUUCUGAGGUCCUGUUCUGCUUAUUUUCUUACACCAACUAUGCCCACUUAGUUAUCUAUCAUUGCUCUUGGUUUUGAUCAGGGCUUGAGGGCGAGGCAUAACAAAUGCAGCAAAGCAUGAAGACACCGUGUCAUCCUGACCAGAGGUUCUAGUUUAAAACUUUUCAUGGCCUUGAGCUCUAAAAAGAUUAUAGAGCCUUUCUGCCCACAUGAAUUUGAAAUGAAAACACCAAGCUAUAAAAUAGUUGCUAAACCAUCCAACAUUGUUCUGACUUUCUUAAAGAAGACUACUUUGAUUUUUCAAAAUAUCAACUCUCAAAUUAUAUCCAUUUUCCUUGCUGCCUCUGCUUUGAUAGUUUCCCAGCCAUUUAUAUAGUGUGCCCACCAGGUAACCCAGCACCUCACUACCAUGAAUGGGUAAGUACAUGUAGACCUGUUUAAUAACCUAGUCUUAUAAGUGGCGAGUGAUCAAUUUGAGCAAUAGUGACUUUGGCCAGGAGAACAAUAAAUAGUGUUAAUUUCGGGAUUGUACCUUGUAGGGACUGUCACCUAAAGUCACCUACAAUCAAUUGCAUGAUUAAAAAUUGUACACAGUGUCUUAACUUUGCCAAAUCAGCCUACUUUGGUCAGCUGUGAAUUUGGUGGGGGAAAAAACCCCCUAAACUCCACUGUAUUUUGCUUUUUAGGCCCGCACCCAUGGCAUAUUGAGGUUCCCAGGCUAGGGGCCAAAUCGGAGCUGCAGCUACCAGCCUACACCAGAGCCACAGCAACUCAGGAUCUGAGCUGCAUCUUUGACCUACACCACAGCUCACAGCAACGCCAGAUCCUUAACCCACCCAAGGCCAGAGAUCAAACCUGCAAACUUAUGAUUCCUAGUCAGAUUCGUUUCUGCUGCGCCAUGACAGGAACUCCUAAACUCCACUGUUUUUAAUAGAGCCUGUUUAGACAAAAUCGUGACGUUAGUGAAGUUGCUUUAUGGUGCUUUUCCUUUUUCCUUCUGGGGAUGCACCUACAAUUCCUAUUUCUUGCCCCAGGUAUCUCUCUCAUGUCUCACUGUUGUAGAGCUUUGGAAAGAAACUGAGAAACAGAGUAGGGAAAAGGCACUAUGUAGGGAAUAAAAUCAAUGAAUUUUAGUUUAAGUUCAGCCAACAGUUGACUUCAUGACCUUGGAUAAUAUCUUUGAAUCUCAAUUUAUUCAUUAUAAAUUUGGAGAAAAAGUAGUAAUUGUAUUACUAAGCUCUUUUUCUUUCCUGCCUACAGAUUUCAACUAUUUUAGAAAACCUCAUUCCCGAUAACACAUUAGCUGAUGUAGUGUCAUUUUUCUCUGAGAUGUAAUAGGGAAAUCUUGGAAACCAAAAAUUUUUAGAUCUUUACUGGGUUUUUUUUGUUUUUUGUUUUUUGUUUGUUUGUUUGUUUUUGCUAUGUAGGGCCACACCUGUGGAAUAUGGAAGGUCCCAGGCUAGGGUUCGAAUCUGAGCUGCAGCUGCCGGCUUAUACCACAGCCACAGCAAUGCAGGAUUUGAGCCAAGUCUACAACCUACACCACAGCUCAUAGCAAUGCCAGAUCCUUAACCCACUAAGCAAGGUCAGGGAUCAAACCCUCAUCCUCAUGGAUGCUAGUCAGUCUAUUUCUGCUAAACCACAAUGGGAACUCCUUGGUCCUUACAUUUUUAACAAGAUUAUUUCAGGUGCCAUAGCAGGUUGAUGGAGAAAUAUUUUUCUGUGGAAAUCUUUCAGGAGACUUUACAUCACACAAAAAAGUUGACUUAUCUGUAAAUCUGCAUUGGGGAAAGGAGAGGAAUCACGAUUUUUAUUUGCUAGUUUAAUCACUUUCACCAGUUUGAAAUUUGACUCUUUACCAAGCACUAAUGUGAGAGUCCUGGGAUCCUUUUCUCUUCUAAUUAAGCACAUUUUGUGUAGCUCCUUAUUUUUCCCCCCAUUUUUCUCUGGUGUUUGUUUAUGACUUUCAUGAUAUACAUUGCUUGUGGUAAAAUUUAUGUUGCUAAAUAAUACUGUUGUAAAUUAGACCACUAUUCCCUGGUCUUGUUUAGAUCUCAUCAGUGGAGCUCUGUUCACUCAGAUAUUUUCAGUCACAGAUAAAUUGCUCUGUCCCAUUUGCAUUUCAGUAAUUUUCUGAUUUAGACAUGGAGUUGGUAAUGGGCAUAAUUCAGGAGGGGUGACUUGAGGGGAGGGAAUCUCCUGAGAGCCUGGCAUCCUUAGCAAGAUCCCCAAAUAGUCACUAUUUUCCACUAUGGAGUAUCUUCUUGUAUGAGAAUAAAUAAAAGUUAAUUGUCUUUAUAAAGCAGUGUUGGAAAUGGUGUCAGCUAUUUUCCUCUCUUUGUAUAUCCUGCUGCCAAUUUGGAUUCAAAUUGGUUUGGUAAGGAGUUUUGCCCCAGGGGUCCAUUUUAAUAGCUGCAUUUCUGAUUUGUCAUAAUUUACUGGAGUACAUGGACUAUUAAAACCAUGAUU
rnacentral:lncRNA from 1 species